rnacentral:rRNA from 1 species
GGAUUAGAUACCCUGGUAGUCCACGCCCUAAACGAUGGAUACUAGGCGUUAGGGGUAUCGACCCCCUUAGUGCCGUAGCAAACGCGAUAAGUAUCCCGCCUGGGGACUACGGCCGCAAGGCUGAAACUCAAAUGAAUUGACGGGGACCCGCACAAGCGGUGGAGCAUGUGGAUUAAUUCGAUACUAACCGAAGAACCUUACCCAGACUUGACAUCGAGGGACCGGCUAUGAAAGUAGCCUUCCGCCCCACAAGGGCGGCCCAAAGACACCUGUUGCAUGGCUGUCGUCAGCUCGUGCUG